UGAGCAGAGAUUUUGUCUGUGAGUGUUAUACUACAAUCAUUGCAUUCUGUUGCUGAAAGAUUACUCUGAAAAUUUGACUUGGUGUAGAUGGGCAGUUGUCUUUCAUCUCAAUGGUUGAAAUCAGCACUGAUAUUCCCCGGCUCA